ensembl:lncRNA
UCUGACUACGUCGGUCCUGCCUGACAGCUAGCCGGCUACCUAGCUAGCUGCCGCACUUGGCUGCAAAUGGAUAGCGAGGGGACUCUCUCUCUCUCCUUUCACCUCCCCGGUCUCUCGCAAAUGCUCGCAUAGAAUCGGAGUUACAGCUGGAUGUGGAAAAAAUAACUGAGUUGUUUGGUGGUGGAGCUACAACAGAGGGCAGCUACCCACCGGUGUGUGACAGAAAGGACAUGCCGCCAACGAGACAUAUGAGGCCGGGCAGGCGAUUGCUAACGCGGUGGUCAAUCAUGGAUCAGGGAAAGCGAAGGCAGGAGCGUGAGGUGAACUGAAUUUCAGGUAAGAAGUUAUGACCUGCACUCUAUUUGGGUCAGAUAUAAACCGAGUUUAGGUGUAGUUUAUUUAGCAGCAGUUCUCUUAUGUGUUGCUGAUAGCCGGCUAGCUAGCUAGCGCCGCUAGCAUAGUUAGCUAGCACCGCUAGCGACCCUUCGUGAAAAAGCACCCAGGCUUGGCUUAUAUUGAGGCGGGUGAAACUCGUGUCAGCACCCGGUCGCUCGCCGACAGUAUGUGUUUUAGCUGGACUUAUUUUUCGUUUAUAUGGACCGAUGAUUUAUUUAUUUAUUCAUUUUAGUAACGGUAUAAACAGUGAAAGGUGGUGGAUUGGCCAGAUGUAAACUUCAAAUAUCUGCUCGUGUUACCAAGACAUCCCAUAUUAGCUCUGAUGUUUUCG